GACGAACGCUGGCGGCGUGCUUAACACAUGCAAGUCGAACGGUGAAGGGACCGGUUUUUGCUGGUUCUGGAUGAGUGGCGAACGGGUGAGUAACACGUGAGUAACCUGCCCCCUUCUUCUGGAUAACCGCAUGAAAGUGUGGCUAAUACGGGAUAUUCUGCGCCUGCUGCAUGGUGGGUGUGGGAAAGAUAUUGUUUCGGUGGGGGAUGGGCUCGCGGCCUAUCAGCUUGUUGGUGGGGUGAUGGCCUACCAAGGCGGUGACGGGUAGCCGGCCUGAGAGGGUGGACGGUCACACUGGGACUGAGACUCGGCCCAGACUCCUACGGGAGGCAGCAGUGGGGAAUAUUGCACAAUGGGCGCAAGCCUGAUGCAGCGACGCCGCGUGAGGGAUGGAGGCCUUCGGGUUGUAAACCUCUUUCGCCAGUGAAGCAGGCCUGUCCCUUUUGUGGGUGGGUUGACGGUAGCUGGAUAAGAAGCGCCGGCUAACUACGUG
rnacentral:rRNA from 1 species